CCAUAGGCGCAAUGAAAGUGAAGGCCGCUCUCGGGCGGCCGAGGGAGGACGGGGCUCCGGCCCCCGCACUCCCGGGGCGUCUGAUCCCUCAUCGCGAGGGGAGGCGCACCCAGAGCGCACACGUUGGGACCCGAAAGAUGGUGAACUAUGCCUGGC
rnacentral:rRNA from 1 species